rnacentral:rRNA from 1 species
CCUACGGGUGGCAGCAGUGGGGGAUAUUGCACAAUGGGGGAAACCCUGAUGCAGCGACGCCGCGUGGGUGAAGAAGUAUUUCGGUAUGUAAAGCCCUAUCAGCAGGGAAGAAAGACGACGGUACCUGACUACGAAGCCCCGGCUAACUACGUGCCAGCAGCCGCGGUAAUACGUAGGGGGCGAGCGUUAUCCGGAUUCACUGGGUGUAAAGGGAGCGUAGACGGCCGUGCAAGCCAGGAGUGAAAGCCCGGGGCCCAACCCCGGGACUGCUCUUGGAACUGUGCGGCUGGAGUGCGGGAGGGGCAGGCGGAAUUCCUGGUGUAGCGGUGAAAUGCGUAGAUAUCAGGAGGAACACCGGCGGUGAAGGCGGCCUGCUGGACCGCGACUGACGUUGAGGCUCGAAAGCGUGGGGAGCGAACAGGAUUAGAUACCCCUGUAGUC